AUUGAACGCUGGCGGCAUGCUUUACACAUGCAAGUCGAACGGUAACAGGUUAAGCUGACGAGUGGCGAACGGGUGAGUAAUGCAUCGGAACGUGCCCGAUCGUGGGGGAUAACGCAGCGAAAGCUGCGCUAAUACCGCAUACGAUCUGAGGAUGAAAGCGGGGGACCGUAAGGCCUCGCGCGAUCGGAGCGGCCGACGUCAGAUUAGGUAGUUGGUGGGGUAAAGGCUCACCAAGCCAACGAUCUGUAGCUGGUCUGAGGGGACGACCAGCCACACGGGGACUGAGACACGGCCCAGACUCCUACGGGGGGCAGCAGUAGGGAAUUUUGGACAAUGGGCGAAAGCCUGAUCCAGCAAUGCCGCGUGCAGGAAGAAGGCCUUCGGGUUGUAAACUGCUUUUGUACGGAGCGAAAAGGCCCUCUCUAAUACAGUGGGCUCAUGACGGUACCGUAAGAAUAAGCACCGGCUAACUACGUGCCAGCCGCCGCCGUAA
rnacentral:rRNA from 1 species